AGUGAACGCUGGCGGUAGGCCUAACACAUGCAAGUCGAACGGCAGCACAGGAGAGCUUGCUCUCUGGGUGGCGAGUGGCGGACGGGUGAGGAAUACAUCGAAAUCUACUUUUUCGUGGGGGAUAACGUAGGGAAACUUACGCUAAUACCGCAUACGACCUACGGGUGAAAGCAGGGGAUCUUCGGACCUUGCGCGAUUGAAUGAGCCGAUGUCGGAUUAGCUAGUUGGCGGGGUAAAGGCCAACCAAGGCGACGAUCCGUUGCUGGUCUGAGAGGAUGAUCAGCCACACUGGACCGGGGAGACGGUCCAGACUCCUACGGGAGGCAGCGGUGGGGAAUAUUGGACAAUGGGUGCAAGCCUGAUCCAGCCAUACCGCGUGGGUGAAGAAGGCCUUCGUGUUGUAAAGCCCUUUUGUUGGGAAAGAAAUCCAGCUGGCUAAUACCCGGUUGGGAUGACGGUACCCAAAGAAUAAGCACCGGCUAACUUCGUGCCAGCAGCCGCAGUAAAAC
rnacentral:rRNA from 1 species